rnacentral:misc_RNA from 1 species
GACAGCACUUAACAGCAAGGCAGUGGGAUUUGCCAAAUUCUUCCCAGCAAUAUCAGGUGCUGAACCAUGUACGGCUUCAGCAAGAGCAAUGCCUCCUUCACCAAUAUUGCAGCUUGGUGUUAAGCCCAAACCACCAACCAAUCCUGCGCACAGGUCACUGAUAAUGUCACCAUAGAGGUUAGGCAUCACCAGUACAUCAAAAAAUGCUGGAUUCUUCACAAGCAUCAUACAGCAGUUGUCAAUAACAACUUCCUCAUAUGUUAUCUCAGGGUACUUCUCUGCAACCUCACGGCAGCACUUAAGAAACAGACCAUCAGUUUUCUGCAUAAUGUUUGCCUUGUGAAU